UUUGAUUAAUAAAGCUGCUUUUUAAAUGUAAAUUGGAUUUAGCUUAAAAGGGAGACCAAUUUAAAACCUGCACGAGAGUCUUUGACGGAUCGAACGGACGUUUCCCUGAUAUUUCCAACUUUCAACUCCUCCUCAUCCUGGUUUUGAAUCCUAGAUUUUCUCUAGGCCUUCCAUGAUGGUAAUGCCCAAUCCUAUCCUAAUACUAUGGUUCCAUCAAUCUGAUAAAAGAGAGGGGGAUGGGACAGUCAGGGAGGGGAGAGGUGGAGGGGUUGAUGGUGUGGCGUUGGGUCAUUUCUCAUUUCCGAACCCUGGACGGUCACCUCCCCCCUUCCUGUUAACUAGCCUUCUCAUUGCGGGAACGCUACAGAUGGAAACACGCAACGACCUCUCUGGACGCUCUUCAUCAAUACGAUGUCUGUGACUCUACGCAACCUUGUUAUUUUAGUUAAAUAAAUGAAUAAUCUGAUCA